CAGCUCUCCGAGUGGUAGGGAUGAUUAUUGGGCCUAAAGCAUCCGUAGCCGGCGCUGUAAGUUUUCGGUUAAAUCUGUACGCUCAACGUACAGGCUGCCGGGAAUACUGCAGCGCUAGGGAGUGGGAGAGGUAGACGGUACUCGGUAGGAAGGGGUAAAAUCCUUUGAUCUAUUGAUGACCACCUGUGGCGAAGGCGGUCUACCAGAACACGUCCGACGGUGAGGGAUGAAAGCUGGGGGAGCGAACCGGAUUAGAUACCCGAGUAGUCC
rnacentral:rRNA from 1 species